rnacentral:tRNA from 1 species
GAGGCAGUAGCUCAGCGGACUGAACCUUUUCUUGGUAAGCGAAAAGGCCUGGGUUCGAGUCCCGGCUGCUCCU